rnacentral:misc_RNA from 1 species
UUCAAAUUUGAUUUAAGUCCAAUUUAGCAGGACCCUUUUUACGUCAAAAUUCAAUAGCGAAUCAACUCGAAGAACUGUCCAGAAACUUUCAUAUCUGUACCGUAGAUUUCAGGAAAAAAGUAUGAAUUUCAAUUGCAUAAUGUAGUUAUAGAUUGUCAUGGUCUUUAAUUAUCGUGCAUUGAAAAUGAAGCUGAAGUUCAAUGGAAGAACUCCUUUGCCAACGAUAGCAUCUACAACGUAAUUCCAUGGAUUGUAGUACUUUAAAAACAGAUUAUUAGUUUCGGCACUUAUCAAAAAUAAAAAUGAGGUCCAUAGUACUCAGAAAAUCAUUCAGCAGCGAUAUCAGAAAAUGUUUAUACAGUACUACACAAUCAAUCAAAGGACCAAAUGAGCCACCGGUGUCCAAAAACACAACAAUUGAUGCAGAGAAUGUACAGCUCCAUGGAAAAAUGAGUAAUCAAUGGUGGAACCUUGAUGGAGGAUUAAGGGCUUUACAUGCUAUGAACACCCUAAGGGUGCAGUUUAUUCGCGAUGGCUUAGCAAAUACAGGUGUGGCUAUGGGAACUCCUAGCAAACCUCUUGAUAAAAUCAAGAUACUCGAUGUGGGUUGUGGGGGUGGUAUCCUCUCUGAACCAUUGGCAAGAAUCGGCGCUGAUGUAACUGGAAUCGAUGCUUCAACCGACUUGAUAAAAAAUGCUACCGAACAUGCAGCAAUAGAUUUGGAUCUUGCAGAUAGAUUACGAUACAUAAAUACCUGUAUAGAGGAGCACUCCGAAAUUGAUGCAGAAAAAUAUGAUGCAGUUGUUGCUUCCGAGGUAUUGGAGCACGUCACUGACCAAGAACGUUUUUUGAAGUGCUGUACUCGUGCAACUAAACCUGGCGGCUCGUUAUUCCUUUCUACUCUAAAUAGAACAUUGCCAUCCUGGCUUGGUGGAAUUAUCGCAGCAGAGUAUUUACUUAGAAUAGUCCCGAUAGGAACUCAUGAUUGGAACAAGUUCAUCUCUCCCAACGAAGUGCGACGCCUAAUAGAAUCGCAGGGUUGCCAAACCAAAUUGAUCCAUGGGAUGUGCUAUAAUCCAUUAAAAAAUAAGUGGUCUUGGACGUCCUCGACUGCAGUAAAUUACGCUUUACACGCAGUGAAGAGAAAAGAGCCUAGUCAUUAACAGUAAUACAUCGUUAGCUCAUUCUAGUAUCCUGGAAUGUUGUCUGUACAGCUAAUAAUUUUCUGCGGUUACAUCAAAGGGCGUUUUAGGACACACCAAAUUGUCCCGCAUGAACUCUAUCGUAAAAGGUUUGCCCGCAUCGAGGCGCAACACGAAAGAGCGCCUGCGCAAAAAUUUG